rnacentral:tRNA from 1 species
GGGGAAGUACUCAAGUCUGGUUUAAGAGGCCAUUUGUCUGUACGCUAUACAUAACACAUGGUAGGUCGAUUUCUCGAUGCGGGGGUUCAAAUCCCUUCCUUCUCCA